CCCACUCGACGUAUACUCGACUCAAUGUCUGUAUUAUGGCAACUUACAUUGCCAUAAUACAGACCAGGACCGCCAGGCUCAUUACAAGCCCAGCGGUCCUGUUGGGGGCCGGCAGGAAGCGUUUACUUACCUUUCCUGCAGCUCAUGUCAGCUCCAUUCUCCUCCACUCCGUUCAGCUCCACUGUAAGUCUUGCGUGAGCCGCGGCCGUCAGAGCUUUGCCACGGGUUACCGUGGCAACGCUCCACGCGGCACGCAGACCAUGAGACUUACACUGGAGCUGGAUGGAGCGGAGGAGAAGGUAGCUGACAGGAGCUGCAGGAAAGGUAAGUAACAGCCCGCUGCCAUCCCCCCUCCUGCACAGUACACACCGCUGGACCACCAGGGACUGCGAUAUCCCCACUCCCUGGCCAUGUAUCAAGCAGGGAGGGGGGACAAAAAAUAUAAAAUACAAAUGUAAAUAAUA